rnacentral:rRNA from 1 species
CCUACGGGUGGCAGCAGUGGGGAAUAUUGGACAAUGGGGGCAACCCUGAUCCAGCCAUGUCGCGUGUGUGAAGAAGGCCCUCGGGUUGUAAAGCACUUUCAGUGAGGAAGAACGCCUGGUGGUUAAUACCCAUCAGGAAAGACAUCACUCACAGAAGAAGCACCGGCUAACUCCGUGCCAGCAGCCGCGGUAAUACGGAGGGUGCGAGCGUUAAUCGGAAUUACUGGGCGUAAAGCGCGCGUAGGUGGCUUGAUAAGCCGGUUGUGAAAGCCCCGGGCUCAACCUGGGAACGGCAUCCGGAACUGUCAAGCUAGAGUGCAGGAGAGGAAGGUAGAAUUCCCGGUGUAGCGGUGAAAUGCGUAGAGAUCGGGAGGAAUACCAGUGGCGAAGGCGGCCUUCUGGACUGACACUGACACUGAGGUGCGAAAGCGUGGGUAGCAAACAGGAUUAGAUACCCUAGUAGUC